GUUGACCAGCCCCGCCGCUUAUAUCCCCUCAGUCCUGCGGCUCACAUUCACCUCUCUCUCAACGCCGGUCGCCACCUAGAUGUGUCACCUGACUUGCCACCGUCCUCCACUCUCGUCUCAGAUUUGACCCCAAAGUCAAGCGGCAGGCAGCAGCAGAAGGUUCCCGUGUCGCCAUGAGCUGGAUGGGGAAGCGGGGGUUGGGUGGGGAGAGCCCGCACUGGCGGAGAAGACGGACGAGGACUGGCGGCUCCGGAGCUACCUCGCUGCCGCGUCCAGUUCGACCCUGCCUCCUGCAAGCACGGCGACUUCUUUGACAACGUCUGGGCGGGCCACGAUCUAACCACGCCCAAUCUCUUCAGGUCAGUACAGUACAGUACAGUAGGCAAUUUGGGAUUUUUUUUGAAACUGAAAUUGAGGAAAUUUUGACACAAAUAAAUGUGGAGACUGAGUUGUUUGGUCAAUUAGUUAAUCAGCACGUACACCAGAGACAAUUUGUUCCAACAAACACAUCCUCGUUCUCCAAACCAAUCUAGCUCGAGGGGUGCCCGACGUCCCUCUGCUUCCACUCCGACUAGUCAGGAGUUCCUCUGCUUCCUUUACGAUGGCCGAUCAAUCGGCACGCAGCGAUCACAGUGGGGCGCCACGCAAUGUUGAUGUCGACCGUAGUUGGAUGUACAAAGAGAGAUGAGGGAAGUUGAUCAGUGAUGCUUGGCAACAUGGAGUAGAUAAUUUUCUAGAUCAUGCAUUCUCAUUGCCCGAUGCUGCUGUAGACGGGAAAUCCCAUUGUCCUUGCAGCAAGUGCUUUUGCGGUCAUAAGUGCACAAGGGAUGUCAUGACCACACACUUGUGCAGCAAUGAGUUCAUGUUAGGAUAUGAGAGAUGGACUAGCCACGGGGAGUCUGAUGCACCUGAAAAUGUAGAGCAUGAUAACGUGGGGGAUGGAGAUAGAAUGAAUGACAUGCUAGUUGAUGCAAUUGUUGCUGAAGGAGUUUCUAAAGGUGAUGAGCCAACAAAAGCUGCCAAAAAAUUCUAUGAAAUGUUGAUGGAAGCCGACAAAAGUUUGCAUGAGAAGACCACACAAUCACGUCUAUCCAUUGUAGGAAGGCUAAUGACUAUUAAAACACAACAUAAUCUGUCAGAAGCUUGUUAUAAUGAGAUGAUGACUCUUAUACAUGACAUUGUUGAGGACGAUGCUGCAAAAGAUCUCCCAGCAAACUUCCAUAGGUCCAAGAAGCUUGUGCAUAGUCUAGCAAUGCCUUACGUCAAAAUUCAUGCAUGCCCCAAUAAUUGUAUGCUUUAUUAUAAAGAGAAUGGAAAUAAAGAAAAAUGCACUAUCUGCAAAGAACCUAGAUAUGAGGAAACAACCGCAGGAAAUAAAUCUACGAAGAUACCAAGAAAAGUUCUGCGCUAUCUCCCAAUUACUCCUAGGCUACAACGGUUGUACAUGUCACAAGGCACUGCCAAGCACAUGGACUAUCACGCAAGGCCUCAUAACAGUGAUGAAGUAAUGGUUCACCCUUCUCAUGGUGAAGCUUGGAAGGAAUUUAAUAAGGAAUUUUAAAAAUUUGCUGAGGAAGUAAGGAAUAUAAGGCUGUGUCUAGCGACUGACGGCUUCACACCUUUUGGUAUUAAAGCAGCCUCCUACUCAUGUUGGCCAGUAUUUGUUGUGCCUUAUAAUCUUCCACCGGAAAUGUGCAUGAAGCAGAGUAACCUGAUCCUUGCACUAGUUAUUCCCGGUCCAGAUCAUCCAGGAAAGAACCUAAACGUUUUUAUGCAGCCUCUAGUUGACGAACUUGAUGAUUUGUGGAGAAAUGGUGUAGAAACUUAUGAUAGUUAUCGAAAGCAAAAUUUCACCUUAAAGGCAGCUUUGCUUUCGACUAUUCAUGACUUUCCAGCUUAUGGAUUAGUAGCAUGCUGGAGCACUCAUGGAAAUCUUGCUUGCCCUAUAUGUGGAUCUGACAUAAAGACAUUCUCAUUGAAGAAUGGGAGAAAGCCAUGCUGGUUUGACUGCCAUAGGAGAUUCCUUCCCACUGACCAUGCAUUUCGUAGGAGUGUGAAAUGUUUUCGCAAGAAAAAAACAGUUUUAGAUCCUCCACCAAAGCACUUGUCCGGAGAAGAGGUGUAUGAAGAACUCCAAAGUCUUGUCCAUGAUGAAACUGGCAAGAGUGAAUUUGAGGGGUUUGGGAAGGAGCACAAUUGAUAGCUAUAAGUGGUUUGUGGCAGCUAGAGUAUUUUCGGAAGUUGCUGCUUCGCCAUAACAUUGAUGUAAUGCACAAUGAGAAAAAUGUAUCUGAGGCUUUACUAAACACAUGCCUUGAUAUUCCUGAGAAAACUAAGGAUAACAACAAAGCACGCCUUGAUGUUGAUUUAUAUUGUGAUCGACCAAAGCUACACCUGAACAAGAAUUCAAGGGGUGUGUGGAAGAAACCUAGAGCAAAAUAUUGUGUCAGCAAGGAAGAUAGAAUGACCAUCCUUAAGUGGUUUAAAGAAGUGAAGUUUUCUGAUGGGUUUACUGCUAAUUUGAGUAAAACUGUCAACUUGAGUAAAAACAAAUUCAUUGGGCUGAAAAGCCAUGACCACCACAUCAUCAUGGAGCGCCUCCUGCCAGUUGCCCUACGAGGCUUCAUCCCGGAACCUGAAUGGAAGGUCAUAACAGAGUUAAGUUUUUUUUAUCGGCAAUUGUGUGCCAAAGAAAUUGCUCCAAAACGGAUGCGUGGACUUGAGGAGGAGGUUCUUGUUCUAUUAUGCAAGCUUGAGAAAAUGUUCCCACCAGGCUUCUUCAAUGUAAUGCAACACCUGAUAGUGCAUCUUCCAUAUGAGGCAAGGGUUGGCGGCCCUGUGGCAUAUCGUUGGAUGUAUGUUUUUGAGAGGGCAAUGCACUAUCUUCGUUUAAAAGUGUGAAACAAAGCAAGAGUGGAGGGUUCAAUCGUUGAAGCUUGUAUUGUGCAGGAGAUCACGAAUUGUGUUUCUCUUUACUUUAGUGAUCAUGUUCGCACUAUAUGGAAGAAGAAUCCUCGAUAUAAUAAUGGAGGAACACGCGUGCAGAAUGAUGGUUGCACCUUAGAUGUGUUUGAGCAUGUAGGAAACCUACAUGGGAGGCCUAUUGCCCGAGAACUAUCGCGUGAAGAGUUGAAUGCAGCAAGGUUGUACAUUUUGACUAACUGCUCUGCUGUUGAUAGAUUUCGUGAAACAUUUGAAGAUGAAAAAUAUGCAAGUCAUCCAAACUUGACAUCGGAGGGCCUUGAUGAAAUGAUGGCAUCCGAAUUUGUGGAAUGGUUUGAGAUUGCUUGCAAAGAAGAUCCCAAUUCUGAUGAGGACUUGUGGAAUUUAGCUAAUGGAUGCAGCUCUAGAGCCUAUUCCUAUAGCUCCUAUGAUGUGAAUGGCUUUCGCUUUUGAUCAGAGAUAUCUGAGAAAAAACGUAGAAGGUUGAAAACGGUGAACACAGGGGUUUGUUUGUCAUCCUUCAUCUCAGAGACUGAACAACUUGAGUACUAUGGUGUCAUUGAGGAAAUUAUCAAAGUAUCCUUCACAGCUGGUAAAAAAAUUGAGAUGGUACUCUUCAAAUGCCAUUGGUUUGACCCCAUCAAGGAUGUGAAGCCAAAUGCGAAAUUAGGUUUGGUGGAUAUAAAGUGGUCUUCAAGACUAAGUAAUUUUGAACAAUUUGCCAUGGCUCACCAAGCUACACAAGCUUAUUACUUGCAUUACGCAUCCUCCAGGAGAGAUCUUCGUGAUUGGAGGGUUGUUUACACUAUUCAGCCAAGUACCAACUUGAGUAACUUUGAGGACUGCGCAAAUGACCCAUCUGCUAUAGAUGAAUAUUUCCAGGAAGGUGGUCAGCUGGGUUGUUUUUCUGUAGAUGGUGGCAAAUUUGUUGAUGAAUCUACUGAGCCAAGAAAGGAGUCAGAUGAUGUGGAGCUUGAUCCCUCUGAAAUUUAUGUAAUAGAAAAUCAAGGCAAUAAUUAUGAGGGAGAAGAAUCUUCAGAAGAUGAAUUGGAUGAGAGUACUGAUGAGGAAGAAGAAGAUUUACCUGAAGAGGAAGGACAAGAAGAGACAUAUGAGACCGAAGAUGAGGAUGAUGCAAUAGAGCAUGACUCUGAAUAUGACGAUGAUGAUUACUGAACAUUUAUAGUUUUUGCACUUGUCAUUUUCUGUCUUGGUACCAAUAAAUAUUAUAUAGUGGCACAACUAGUGAAUAAUAUAGUAUGUUUACUAUUGGUAGUAAUACAUAUUACAUAGUGAUUUAGUGAAACAACUAUUGAACAAUAUAUUAUGGUUGAUAGUAUUUAUAGUUUAGUUGUUACAUAAUGUUUUCUGUUGUUUUCUUCUUCUACUGUCAUGCCUUUGGUAAUCAUCUACUAAUUAUUUUUUUAUGUAGCUAAUAAGAAUGUAUUUGUCACUAUGUAAAUAGGAUGACCCGCUUGCAUCAUAGGCGUGUCUCAAUGGCUAGGUCGAACAAGUCUUCUUCUAGUGCCUCCGUAGGAAACAAUGGAUCAACUCGGCCAACUGCACAAACUAAAAAGCCUAGAACACCAAGAACUAGGACUUCAGCCGGUCUCAGACUAGAGGAAAUUGACAGACCGCUUAUAGUUCCCGUUGGCAUGGCAUGGGAAAGGCACCCAUACAGCGCUCGUGAUCCAUCAACAGUGCUAGGUGCCUUAGUGCGCCAGAUGUAUCCACCGCCAAUUGGUCCAAAAAUUGAUCAGAAACCGGUAUUGUGUUGGGAGGACUACAAGUGGUCCCCUGGUCCAGAAGUAAGAACAGCAGCUUCCAAAAUAGUGGAAGAAUUUUGGUGGCGUUUCAAGUGUGACCCAUCGGAGCAAGAGAAGGCAGAUGGUGUUUUGGAGGAGAACUUAACUAGGAAAGUGAAGCUGAUGCUACAUGAGGAAAAGGCGGCAGCCAUCAAAAGAUUAAAGAAGAAGGGACAAUUGCCUACAGAACUAACAGAAGAGGAUGAGGAUGGUAACCGCUGGCCAACUAAGGAAGCUUUAAUUUCUGCAAAGAGAGUUGACUUUGGUACAGACGUUGGUUGGCGUCUACUAUGUGAGCACUGGAGUAUACUGAAUUUGAGGGUUAUCUUUAACCAACAAGAGGAACAGACUUGCUAAUGGGGACACGGUCUUCCAUUGUAGUGGUGCUAGAAAUGUUGUCGCCACACGUCAAUUUCUGAAACUCAAAACCGGGAAAGAUCCUGGAAUUUUUGGUGCUUGGCUUCACACGCACAAAUUGCAUCGAGGGACUGAUGAAGAGCAGAUAUGCAGUCAAAGAACUGCUGAUCAUUGGGAGGAUUUUGAUAAGGCAAUGAAAAAUGCCCAUGGAGAAAAUUGGGAAGAGGAGCACCCGGAUUUAGAUGGACAAAUCAUCUACGAAGCAGCAGGCAGAAUGCCACAUGGCAGGCUGGGAAUUGCUAAUGAGUUGUUUAGCAAAGCAGAGAAGGCGAAGUUUAAGUCUAAAAGGGCGAUGGCCUCACAGCCGGUGCAAUCUCCUAAGGAGGAGCGUCUAGAAAGAGAACACAAACAUUUGAAGCAGGAGAUCAAGCGUCUUCGAGGCAUUGAGCUUGUUGUUCAGUCUUUGGCUGAGGAAGGGGGAGUCGACUUUGAUGGCAUAAUGCAAUCAGCAGCAGAUGACUUGUCUCCAUCAUAUUCUGAAGGCGGAUUUCAAAGGGGACAAGGUGAUGUGCCUCAACACCAAACCGAAAAGGGAAUGGGAAGCAGGACUGGAGGCAGUACAAGUCAUGGAAAUGAUGAUGAGGAUGACUACUAUGGCAAUGGGGGAUAUGAUAACUAUGGCGAGGGUGAUCUGUAUGGUGAUGAGCACUACGAUCACUAUGGCGAUGGGGAAUAUGAUGACUAUGGAGAUGAGGAUGACUAUGGCUCUGGCUAUGGCGGUGGCGAUGGCGAUGAUGAUGAUUGGCUAUAAAAGUCUAAUGAUCUUCAAGUCAUGCCAAAAUGUAGUUAUGUUAGAUAUUUGAAACACUUUAUUAUCUUAUGGACAAAUUUGUCUUAGUAGACAAUUUAUCUUAUGCAAAAUGUGGCCUAUCUCAGUUACUAUUUUGUUCUGCAUUCGACAUUUGAUAAUUAUGGUUAAUGCAAUUUGGAUGCAACUCAA